CCUCCUUUCUAAGGAUGAGUGAAAGUAAAAUUUCAUUCUAAAUAAUAUACAUCGGUAAUGUUGACCGUCCUCAUUUCUCUUCUUAAAGUAAUGUUUCCUUCUGUAGGGCCGGUAGCUCAGUUGGUUAGAGCACACCCUUGAUAAGGGUGGGGUCGAAAGUUCGAGUCUUUCUCGGCCCACCAAACUUAAAUGGGGGAUUAGCUCAUCUGGGAGAGCGCCUGAUUUACAUUCAGGAGGUCAGCGGUUCGAUCCCGCUAUCCUCCACCAAAAUUUGAGACAUUUAGCUUUUUUAAAUUGUGAAUAUUAUUAAUAUUAUCAAUAUCUAUAUCCGAUUGUUUUCAGAUAUUUUUUUUGAAAACAAUCAAAACAAAAAUUUAAUUUAUUACAGAAAAAUUUUUUUCUGUGCAUAAAUCAAGCGUUUAAGGGCGAUUGGGCGGAUGCCUUGGCACUG
rnacentral:tRNA from 1 species